rnacentral:rRNA from 1 species
AUUGAACGCUGGCGGCAUGCUUUACACAUGCAAGUCGAACGGUAACAGGCCGCAAGGUGCUGACGAGUGGCGAACGGGUGAGUAAUGCAUCGGAACGUGCCCAGUCGUGGGGGAUAACGCAGCGAAAGCCGUGCUAAUACCGCAUACGAUCUAUGGAUGAAAGCGGGGGACCGUAAGGCCUCGCGCGAUUGGAGCGGCCGAUGUCAGAUUAGGUAGUUGGUGGGGUAAAGGCCCACCAAGCCGUCGAUCUGUAGGUGGUCUGAGAGGACGACCAGCCACACUCGGACGGGGACACGGCCCAGACUCCUACGGGAGGCAGCAGUGGGGAAUUUUGGACAAUGGGCGCAAGCCUGAUCCAGCAAUGCCGCGUGCAGGAAGAAGGCCUUCGGGUUGUAAACUGCUUUUGUACGGAACGAAACGGUCUGGGUUAAUACCCUGGGCUAAUGACGGUACCGUAAGAAUAAGCACCGGCUAACUACGUGCCAGCAGCCGCCGUAAAAC